rnacentral:lncRNA from 1 species
ACUACAAGAAAAGUUGCAUAUACCCAGGGCUUUUUUACCCAGGGCUCUUUUCCGUGGGUAAUACCCAUGGCAAAGCCAUGGGUAAUGUCAAAAUAAGAAAAUCAUUCAUUCCCUUUCAUUUUUUUUCACGAAAAUACUUCUUCCACCCAAAAAAAUGUUGGGCGCGAAAUAUACUUUUUGUUACCCACGGUAUAUCCGUAUGUAAGUAUAAAAUAUAAUUUUAGUUACCCACGACAUAUCCGUAUAUACGGAUAAAAUUAUUUUUUAAAGGUACCCACGGCAUAUCCACAGGUAAGCAUAAAAAAUAAUUUUCGUUACCCACGGCAUUUCUGCAGAUAAGUAUAAAAUAUAAUUUUAAUUAUUUUUUAUCUAGUUACUUUUCACUUUACCUUUCUGUUCUCUAUCCACAAUAGCUCAUUUUUCCCUUUACAUUUCUCUCUACUCCAGCGAAGGAAAUGAAGGAUGGAAGAGGAAGCAAGACAAACCCUAUCACUCUCUGCUCCAGCGACCCACUCAUCUCCGACGACCAUCUCAACUAUGGCGACCCUUCCAGCGGCGACGGUGAUCUCUUUGUUCUUCCCUCAGUUUGAAUAGUGAGUUGAAUCCUUACUGUUCAAUCUUCUUAUUCUUCUAUUUAAUUGAUAUAAUCUUGUUGUGUGAAGGUGAAAAUCGAAUUUGUUGUUGUUGGAAAACUUUAAAUUUUAUGGGAAUUGAUCUUAGUUUCUUUGUUGGAAUUAUGCUAAUGUGUUAGGGUUUGGCUACUUUUUUCAUCUUAUUUGUUGUUAUCCUGCUAUUGUGCUGAGGUUUAGGCUUAGCUACUUUUUUUAUUGUCGUGGUUGUC